GUGACUCGGUAGCUUAGUUGGUAAAGCGCUUGUCUGGCAUACAAGAGUCCUGGGUUCGAAUCCCAGUCGAGAACG